GUAAUUGUGUCCUAAACCUGUAGCAGCCCUUCUUACUAGAUCACUACGCAUCAAGGGUGUUCAGUGAUAGUGAGGUGUUUAGUGCGUGACUCCACCACCAGCACAGGGGUGAAAAGGAAGCAGUGGAUCACAAGGUAUUACAGGGAUCAAACUGAACCGCAGACGUCUCCUGGGUUUCAUAUGAUGAACACGUACAUACUGAACUGUAUUGAAUCCGGUGCAAGAGGAUACCUUUAGGCCUUUCUCCCACCUCUAUGGUUCUGAUGCGUGGAAGGAGUCUCCAGUGUCAGAGCUGUUUCGUAACAGGCUGAGCUGAAGCUGUAAAGACUGUUCAUAACUGAUAUAAGUGAGCAUGUAAGGUGACAAUAAACAAAUGUGUGUUAGCAA